rnacentral:sRNA from 1 species
CAGGGAAUUGUUUCAGAGGUUUCCUUGGAUAUUCCUACAACUGAUAACAGCUGUCAUUUCUUCAGCAUCUACUGUACUCAAGAACCUGGAGCUAGCUGCUGUGGGAGGAUCAGAUGUCCGUGUGAAGAUGCUGGCGGCCCCUAUCAAUCCAUCUGACAUAAAUAUGAUCCAAGGAAACUACGGACUCCUUCCUGAACUGCCUGCUGUUGGAGGGAACGAAGGUGUUGCACAGGUGGUAGCGGUGGGCAGCAAUGUGACCGGGCUGAAGCCAGGAGACUGGGUGAUUCCAGCAAAUGCUGGUUUAGGAACCUGGCGGACCGAGGCUGUGUUCAGCGAGGAAGCACUGAUCCAAGUUCCGAGUGACAUCCCUCUUCAGAGCGCUGCCACCCUGGGUGUCAAUCCCUGCACAGCCUACAGGAUGUUGAUGGACUUCGAGCAACUGCAGCCAGGGGAUUCUGUCAUCCAGAAUGCAUCCAACAGCGGAGUGGGGCAAGCGGUCAUCCAGAUCGCCGCAGCCCUGGGCCUAAGAACCAUCAAUGUGGUCCGAGACAGACCUGAUAUCCAGAAGCUGAGUGACAGACUGAAGAGUCUGGGGGCUGAGCAUGUCAUCACAGAAGAGGAGCUAAGAAGGCCCAAAAUGAAAAACUUCUUUAAGGACAUGCCCCAGCCACGGCUUGCUCUCAACUGUGUUGGUGGGAAAAGCUCCACAGAGCUGCUGCGGCAGUUAGCGCGUGGAGGAACCAUGGUAACCUAUGGGGGGAUGGCCAAGCAGCCCGUCGUAGCCUCUGUGAGCCUGCUCAUUUUUAAGGAUCUCAAACUUCGAGGCUUUUGGUUGUCCCAGUGGAAGAAGGAUCACA